UACGUAGGGUGCAAGCGUUGUCCGGAAUUAUUGGGCGUAAAGAGCUCGUAGGCGGUUUGUCGCGUCUGCUGUGAAAGUUCGGGGCUCAACCCCGGAACUGCAGUGGGUACGGGCAGACUAGAGUGCGGUAGAGGAGACUGGAAUUCCUGGUGUAGCGGUGGAAUGCGCAGAGAUCAGGAGGAACACCAGUGGCGAAGGCGGGUCUCUGGGCCGCAACUGACGAUGAGGAGCGAAAGAGUGGGGAGCGAACAGG
rnacentral:rRNA from 1 species